CGAACUGAGAGUACGAGCAAAAAGCCAUAUUCUCACUAAAACUGUGCAAAACGGACAGCAAGAAGAAACCAGUGUAUAAACACUCAUAGAACGUACCUGGUACUGGUAUGAAAAACUUCUGUUUAUUACCAACUUUCAAUUUCACACAAGAUGUGUAACUUCCGCUCCGCAUUGAAAUAAAAUCCAUCAUUCGAUAACUUCGAUGGCUUACAAUUUCAAGCAAUCCUUACGAUUGGACAUUAUUUAUUUUAUUCUAUUCCAAAAUAAGAAAUCAGAUUUUUUGAUGAGUCGCUUUUUCUGUUUUCUCUCUUUUUUUGCAUUGUGUUUGAGAAACUUUGGGACUCCUGUGUGCACUGCCGGUCACGUGGAAGCACCAUGAAAAACAUCCCGAGAUCGCAAGCCGAAGCGAGUUAAAAGGAAUUUUAUGCGUUUGUAGAGGAACAAGCAUUGAUAAAAAACGAUGCCUAUCAAGUACUUUCCCAAGCUGAGCGUUGUUUCGAAGUGGGAGCGUCGGCCAAAGCCAAAUUUCCUUUCCAAUUCAGCUGUUGAUGUCACAGUUAGCCCAAGUUUGAAAGACUGGUCAUGCAGGCUGGCCCAGACGCGAGACGUACUCUGGUGGCCCUGCGAGGAUCGCAACGAGGAGCGCCAGAGGGACGAACGGUUCUACAAAAGAUAAGGUUGGUUUGACGCGCGACAGGGUGUUGACAUUUUCAAGUGACGCGAGCGCGAUGUUGUAACGUAAUGAGAGCGGUGGAAAGUACGCAAAAGGUCACGACGAGAAGAAAAGACGGAAGCUUCAGGGGUGUUGGUCAAGUCUGCUUGCCCUUGCAUGGUCGGGGAGUGACGAGAGAUGGACUGGUUACCCGCAGCAUUCGUCCCGACGUUAAUGCAAGAGAUUGUUUGAGUGUGGGGUCUUAGUUUUGCCUUCAGUAUUGCAUUUGUUUCUACAUUUACCGCACGGUAAAUGUCAAGUUCCGACGGUUACAAGUGUCAAACGCUUUAGAGUAAUCGGCUAAUACCAUCAAAGUUAUUUCGCCGCGUUUCAUAGCUCGAAUUAGUUCGUCCUUGAUGCCUAGUAGGGCCGUGGUCGUUGAGUGACCCUUCCGAAAUCCAGACAUGUUGUCUACAAAGAGCUUGAAGUGGUCAAUAAAAGAAACGACUUGUUCAAGAACGAGUCUCUCAGUCUCUCAAAUACCUUCGACAGAGCUGCUAUGGUCUUGUAGGUUUUCAAUAAGUUCAUUCGUUGUUAUCAUCCUGGGUACAUAGAGUACGCUAAGCUGUCGUGUUAGAGAAAUUGUUCAGACUUUCCGGAUCAGUUCUUAAAGGGUUGAGAUUAGAAUAGAGAAUACGAUGAAUGGUUUUCCAUAUUUUGUUUGGGGCGUUUUGAUGAGAGUUGAUGAGAGUACAGAUUCAAGCGAAAGAUCAUUUUCUUACCUUGCCGACCGCCAACUUGAGGGGGCUUCGUACAGCUAAAAGCAGCCCAAUCAUCGGCAUUGUUGGUUUGAUGGGCUUUCUUUCGCAACUCGUCCCGUUUUCGUUGCUCUUCUCUUGUUGAUGUGUCAGCCAUCCAUGGAGCAGGGGUGUAUCACCGCUUAAUGUAACAACUGCCGCUUAAUGUAACACUAACGCUUAAUGUAACAACAAAUCAACGCUUAAUGUAAUAUAACGGACUUAACGCAUAAUGUAAGAACACUCGACGCUUAUGUAAUAACCAUAUAAAUUUAACUAAGGACGAAAAUACUCAUAUCUCGGAUAGAAACAUCGUCGGACAGACACACUUAGAAAAUGUCAUGUAGGUGUCAAGGGGGUUGCAUAAAUAGUCAUGUGAGGUGUGACGUCAUCGAUGACGUCAUUAACACGAAAAUACUCAUAUCUCGGGAUAGAAACAUCGGGCAACCACACUUGGAAAAUGUCAUGUAGGUGUCAAGGGGGUAGUCAUGUGAUAUGUGAUGUCACCGAAGAAGUAGUUAUGAACAUCACUUCAAUGGCAAGACCACUGGAUGAGCCAUGCGUUUUUACCAGCCUCCGGACACUCACGUAUCGCCCGAGAAUUGUGCCACUGUAUCUGGCACUGCUUUACUAAAUGUCGUGAUUCAAGUGCGAGAAGACAGCUAAUAAUCUUCGAUUUUUGCAAGACAGUGUAUAGCUGGUGUGGUUGAAAACUUGUCAAUCAACAAUCAACUCCGUAUGCCUGUACGGAUGUAGUCACACAUUUCAACAAUCGUUAGGUUUCCGCCCUGGUAUAAAUUUGUUUUAAAUGACAAUCAAGUAAGGACCGAUCAGAGGUUUUUUUUUUAUUCUACCCGCGCUGUGCAAUUAAACAUAAAACAAAAAAGGCGACAUUUGUCGGUAACAAAUUUAACCUAAUUUCGUCGGAUAAUUUUAGGGGAAGUAGUUUUUGAAUCGCAAUCGUUCAUCGACUCGCAAUUGUCGGACAUACUUGGCUAGUUUAAUUCUCGAGUGCUUGGUUCUUUCCGGAUCGUCAAAUGUUCCUUCAAAAUGAUCGGCUCGCAAAAGACAUAACCCCAACGUGCUCUUAGCAUGUAAUACCUUGUCUGUUUAGCGUUUUUUUUAAAGAUGAUCAAAAUGGAAAGGCCUUCUAAGACACCUCAAUCACGUUAUUCAUUCUCAAUUUAAGAGGAAAUCUUACAAGGUUUAACAGGAAGUUUGCCGGUGAACAGAUUUUCUAAAGGGCCCUAAGGGACGACAGAUCAUCGGAUGAUUUUGACCUCAAGAAAACUUGUCCUAAGUUUGGUCGUGUCCCAACUCUCGUAGCUCAAGAUAUAAUUUUUCCUAGUUAUGAUGACGUAAUAAAUGACGUCAUGUCACGUGUCCAUUUUGCUGGACCCCCUUUGACCUCAAGACAACUUGGCCUAAGUUUGGUCGUGUCACAACUCUCGUAGCUCAAGAUAGGAUUUUGCUAGUUAUGAUGACGUAAUUAAUGACGUCAUAUCACGUGUCCAUUUUGUUGACCCCCCCCCUUGACCUCAAGACAACUUGUCCUAAGUUUGGUCGUGUCACAACUCUCGUAGCUCAGGAUAUGAUUUUCCUAGUUAUGAUGACGUCAUUAAUGACCGUAAUUUCACGUGUUCCUUUUGUUGACCCCCCCUUGACCUCAAGACAACUUGUCCUAAGUUUGAUCGUGCCACAACUCCCUUAGCUCAAGAUAUUGAUAUUCGUAUUUGUGAUGACAUCAUUGAUGAUGCAACGCUAAAUGACCCCCCGUUACACCCUUAUAACGCUAAGACGACUUUUCCCAAAGUUGGGGUGUCUUGCGAAUUGUUCUUUCAAAAUCUAUCCAAAUUCUAUAUCCAAAUUCAUGGUUAUUACAUUAAGCUUCGAGUGUUCUUACAUUAAACGUUAAGCCCAUUAUUACAUUAAGCGUUGAAAAUUUGUUACAUUUAGCGUUUUAACGCUAAAACAGUUAAAACUGUUUUAUUACAUUAAGCGUUGAUUUGUUGUUACAUUAAGCGUUAGUGUUACAUUAAGCGGCGAUUUUUGUUACAUUAAGCGUUAGUGUUACAUUAAGCGGCAGUUGUUACAUUAAGCGGUGAUACAAGGGGGCGUGUUACUUUAACCCUGUUUAUUAGUAGGUGCGUGCCUAUCAAUUCGAUCUUAAGGCCGGCGCACACGGUGAGCCAUACGCAUGCACUUUGCUCACUGUCUCGCAAGCAGAAACUCGCGGUUCAAGCAGGAUAGAAUUUUGCCUCAGUUGCUCGCGAGACGUAAUUUGGUUCGAUCGACGUCCGCACACGGUGAGUUUUUGGCCUCGCGAGGCAGUGAGCAAAUUGCACGCUUGAAGUUUUGCUUACCAUGUGCGCCGGGCUUAACAGAAGGGUAUACACUUCUCAACCAUGUCGUCGGUGGAAUAAACGCCAUACACAUAAUGUCAAGUGGAAGAGAAUCCGCAUCCGCUUUAAAUUUUUCCUCAUCAAAGUUCCUCUCGUUACGGAUAUAUUUGUAGCGAGGGGGAAAACCUUUUGACACGUAUAUUAACUGUUGCAUAAGGAGCGUCAUGGUCGUUUAUUGAUGGGCAAAAGAGCACAUCACAGUGAGCUAUUCUAUUUCGGGACUUUUGUAAUAAGAUGGUCAAUUAGCGACUUUUAGAAUGUUUAGUUAUUCUUGUGGGUUUAAUGACGUGAUUUAUUAAUACCCA